rnacentral:rRNA from 1 species
CAGUAGCCGCGGUAAUACGUAGGUGGCAAGCGUUGUCCGGAAUUAUUGGGCGUAAAGGGCUCGCAGGCGGUCUCUUAAGUCUGAUGUGAAGGCCCCCGGCUCAACCGGGGAGGGUCAUUGGAAACUGGGAAACUUGAGUGCAGAAGAGGAGAGUGGAAUUCCACGUGUAGCGGUGAAAUGCGUAGAGAUGUGGAGGAACACCAGUGGCGAAGGCGACUCUCUGGUCUGUAACUGACGCUGAGGAGCGAAAGCGUGGGGAGCGAACAGGAUUAGAUACCCCCGUAGUCCCUGUCUCUUAUAC